UGGGGAAUAUUGGACAAGGGGGGGAACCCUGAUCCAGCAAUGCCGCGGGUGGGAAGAAGGCCUUAUGGUUGGAAAGCACUUUAAGCGAGGAGGAGGGUACUGGUAUUAAUACUACCAGGUACUGGACGUUACUCGCAGAAUAAGCACCGGCUAACUCUGUGCCAGCAGCCGCGGUAAUACAGAGGGUGCGAGCGUUAAUCGGAUUUACUGGGCGUAAAGCGUGCGUAGGCGGCUAAUUGAGUCGGAUGUGAAAUCCCCGAGCUUAACUUGCGAAUUGCAUUAGAUACUGGUUAGCUUGAGUGUGGGAGAGGAUGGUAGAAUUCCCGGUGUAGCGGUGUAAUGCGUCGCUCUAGGAAGGAACACCAGUGGCGAAGGCGACCACCUGGGCUCAUACUGACACUGAGGUGCGAAAGCGUGGGGUGCAAACAGG
rnacentral:rRNA from 1 species